UACGUAGGGGGCAAGCGUUGUCCGGAAUCAUUGGGCGUAAAGAGCGUGUAGGCGGCUAGAAAGCCCGCUGUGAAACUCGAGGCUCAACUUCGAGCUGUCGGUGGAAACUUUCUGGCUAGAGUCCGGAAGAGGAGAAUGGAAUUCCUCGGUGUAGCGGUGAAAUGCGCAGAUAUCAGGAAGAACACCCGUGGCGAAGGCGGUCUCUGGACGGUACUGACGCUGAGACGCGAAAGCGUGGGGAGCGAACAGG
rnacentral:rRNA from 1 species